CCUGCCAAGGCAGGAUGUGGGAGGGAAUUGCUGGACCCCUGUCUCAGUAAUUGGGAUGGGUUCCCCUAACCCUGUAUGAGCCUUACUCAUGUAGGUUCCAGAGCCCCAUUAGCGUUCUUCCCCCCAACCUGGAAUGUGAGACUCAGCGGUUCAGAUGCCAGAUGCCCCUGGUCAGGGGUCUUGUCACUGACUCCUUGGAAGGUUCCCCCUACACAGGAAGGAAGGUGGGACUCUGGGAGGUUUGUUUCACUCAUCUUCUCCACCACAGCUCCCGACUAUGACAGAAGCGAGUAGCUGAAAGAAAAAUUCAAGCUGGGCCUGGGCUUCCCCAGUGUAGGUGCAGGGGAUGGGGGGCUGUGGGGACACAUGAGAGGCUUUUUUCUCUAUCUCCUGUCCCAGCUUCAAGGGGUCAGGAUAUGGGGCCUUCUGCGCAGCCUCUCUGCUUCCUGGUUCUCUUCACUGCCUUCCCUGAUGCUCUAUGUUCUAGCUCAUUCAUUCAUUUUACAAUGUAAUUAUUUAGUGCCUACAAGGGUCCAGACACUUUGAGUGCCAGGUUUCAUCUCUGCCCUUGCUCAAGGGAGGGUGUGCAGGGGAGCCUGGUGGCCCAAGCGACCAGGUGUUGUCCUUCCAGCUACCCUACUUAAUUGAUGUGGCUCACAAGAUCAUCCAGAGCAACGCCAUCCUUCACUACAUUGCUCGCAAGCACAACCUAUGUGGGGAGACAAAAGAGGAGAAGAUUCGCAUGGACAUUUUGGAGAAUGAGGUUAUGGACUCUCACAUGGCCCUAGUCCUGCUCUGCUAAAACUUUGACCUUGUGAGUUUCAUCUCAGUGGGCUAGCUUUGGACAGGGUUUAAUGAGGAGACCGAAUUCUUAAGUCCAAUCUACACUGUUCCUAUUUGCCUUUUGAACUCCUUGGAGCUAGUGAUCUUCCAAGCUGGCCCCUCUACUGCCACCAGAGAGACCUCAUAACCCUCAGUUAUAUCAAACAGCACUCCUGGGUUGGACCCAGUGAGUGUGCUUGGAGAUGAGUGGUGACAGAUGCAGGGACAGGGUGUAUUGCUCUCUGCCCUGCCAUUGCCUCUCAGAGAUGGGAGGUGGUCCCCAGUAGGAGUCUAAUGAACACAGGUUGGAUUAAUUCAUAGCCAGGGCACCGAACCAGGUGCCGUCAGGAGGCAUGGCUGUUCACCUCUGGCAGCUUGGGUCACACUCAGCCCUGGGGAUGUCUGCCCCCCUGCCCAGGGAGUCUGUGUCUGAGGGUGGUGACAGCUGUUUUGUGCCUCAGGAGAAACUGAAGCCUGAGUACUUGGAGGCGCUCCCUGAAAAAGCGAAGCUCUUCUCACAGUUUCUGGGGAAGAGACCUUGGUUUGCCGGGGACAACGUAAGAGAAAGGCUUUGGGGAACAGUAGUUUGUCAUUGUUCUCAGGCUUCAGAGUUGGGCGCCCAUUUAUGCUUGGCCUCUCUGCAGAUCACCUAUGUGGAUUUCCUGGCUUAUGACAUCCUUGAUUAUCUGCGUAUGUUUGAGCCCAAGUGCCUGGAUGCAUACCCAAACCUGAAGGACUUUAUAGCCCACUUUGAGGGCCUGAAGAAGAUCUCUGCCUACAUGAAGACCAGCCGCUUCCUCCCAUGGC